GCGGCCUGUGGGGCCCUGUGCACAGACGGUCAGCCAGCCGGUCAGCCAGCCGGAGCUCAGCGCUGAGCAGGGGCACCGUCAUUCCUUCUCUGCCUGACACCCGCCUCCGGGAAGCUGAGUCCCCGCUGUGCUCAGUGCAGUGUGGCCACUGUGGGGAACACGGUGGGCUGUUCCGUGGCCUGCUGAUGUUUCUUUCCCUGGGGGCCUGUUGGCUUCCUGUGUGUCUGUCUGGGUGACACGCGGCGUCUUUUGGAGGUGAGGGGGCUCAGGCCCCAUGUCAUUCUCACACUCAGCUUCUCCGAUGAACUGGAAGGGCAGGGAGGCAGGGCAAGCUCUCCCAAAGCCACCGUCCUAGCCCGUCACCUGUUCUAUCGAGAGCAGGGCGGCGGGCUCAGAGGAGUGUAGCCAGGGAGGCCUGGGGGUCCCCGGGAGCGGAGUAGAGAGAAGGAGCUGGAGCACCACGUGUGUGCCGGGGACCCUUCCUUCAUCUGCCCCACCCGGCUGAGCGGCCCGGGGCCUCCCACCUCGUCCAGCCGCGGGGGCCGGUGUGGAUUUCACUUGCCUCAUUGCCAUCAUCUUCCUGCGCUGACCCUGCCCGAGGCCACACUAGGCACCUGGCACCGUGCUCCGGCAUUCGCCCCGAGGGCCUGCCCUCUGAGCGCUCGGUGCUCAGGACCGAGAAGGGACCCACAGUGGGAGUCAACUGAGACACAGUUUGGAUACGGCCUGAAGCCGGCUGGGAGACAGCACACAGCUUCCAGGGAUCACCCCUGGGCUGGAAUUCUGCACCUUCUUGCUGCUUGGAUGUGCAUGGCAAUGAGCGUGAGUCUCAGAUUCUGCCACGUGAAGAGCUGCAGGUGA
rnacentral:lncRNA from 1 species